AGCAGCCGCGGUAAUUCCAGCUCCAAUAGCGUAUAUUAAAGUUGUUGCAGUUAAAAAGCUCGUAGUUGAAUUUCGGGAUCAGUACGCUGGUCGUGCCUUCGGUAUGCACUGGUUUCACUGAUUCCUCCCUUCUGAAGAACCGUAAUGCCAUUCAGUUGGUGUGGCGGGGAAUCAGGAUUGUUACUUUGAAAAAUUAGAGUGUUUAAAGCAGGCUCGCGCUUGAAUACAUUAGCAUGGAAUAAUGAAAUAGGACGUUUGAUCCUAUUUUGUUGGUUUCUAGGAUCGACGUAAUGAUUAAUAGGGAUAGUUGGGGGCAUUAGUAUUCAAUUGUCAGAGGUGAAAUUCUUGGAUUUAUUGAAGACUAACUACUGCGAAAGCAUUUGCCAAGGAUGUUUUCAUUAAUCAAGAACGAAAGUUAGGGGAUCGAAGACGAUCAGAUACCGUCGUAGU
rnacentral:rRNA from 1 species